GAUAAACGCUGGCGGCGUGCCUAAUACAUGCAAGUCGAACGAAGAACUUGUAGCAAUACUUGUUCUUAGUGGCGAAUGGGUGAGUAACACGUUGGUGACCUGCCCCAAAGAGAGGGAUAACGCCGGGAAACUGGUGCUAAUACCUCAUGUGGUUGUGGAGAUUAGACGCUCUACAUCUAAAGGAGCAAUCCACUUUGGGGAGGGACCUGCGCCCCAUCAGCUAGUUGGUAGGGUAACGGCCUACCAAGGCGACGACGGGUAGGGGACCUGAGAGGGUCGGCCCCCCACACUGGCACUGAAACACGGGCCAGACACCUACGGGUGGCAG
rnacentral:rRNA from 1 species